GACGAACGCUGGCGGCGUGCUUAACACAUGCAAGUCGAACGGAAAGGCUCUGCUUUUGUGGGGUGCUCGAGUGGCGAACGGGUGAGUAACACGUGAGUAACCUGCCCUUGACUUUGGGAUAACUUCAGGAAACUGGGGCUAAUACCGGAUAGGAGCUCCUGCUGCAUGGUGGGGGUUGGAAAGUUUCGGCGGUUGGGGAUGGACUCGCGGCUUAUCAGCUUGUUGGUGGGGUAGUGGCUUACCAAGGCUUUGACGGGUAGCCGGCCUGUGAGGGUGACCGGCCACAUUGGGACUGAGGUACGGCCCAGACUCCUACGGGAGGCAGCAGUGGGGAGUAUUGCACAAUGGGCGGAAGCCUGAUGCAGCAACGCCGCGUGCGGGAUGACGGCCUUCGGGUUGUAAACCGCUUUCGCCUGUGACGAAGCGUGAGUGACGGUAAUGGGUAAAGAAGCACCGGCUAACUACGUG
rnacentral:rRNA from 1 species